GAUGAACGCUGACAGAAUGCUUAACACAUGCAAGUCUACCAAGAAUCACUUCGGUGAGGAAUGGUGGCGGACGGGUGAGUAACGCGUAAAUAAUCUGCCCUUCAGACUGGGAUAUCCUUUGGAAACGAAGGUUAAUACCGGAUAUUAUGAGAUGGACGCAUGUUCAACUUAUGAAAGCUAAAUGCACUAGAGGAGGAGUUUGCGUCCCAUUAGCUAGUUGGUGAGGUAAAGGCGCACCAAGGCCACGAUGGGUAGCCGGCCUGAGAGGGUGAACGGCCACAAGGGAACUGAGACACGGUCCUUACUCCUACGGGAGGCAGCAGUGGGGAAUAUUGGACAAUGGACCAAAAGUCUGAUCCAGCAAUUCUGUGUGCACGAUGAAGGUCUUCGGAUUGUAAAGUGCUUUCAGUAGGGAAGAAAAAAAUGACGGUACCUACAGAAGAAGCGACGGCUAAAUAUGUGCCAGCAGCCGCCGUAAUAC
rnacentral:rRNA from 1 species